rnacentral:rRNA from 1 species
CGGACGGGUGAGUAACACGUGAGAAUUCGCCUUUAGGCGGGGAAUAACCAUCGGAAACAAUGGCUAAUGCCCCAUAUGCUCGUAAGAGUGAAAGGAGUAAUCCACCCAAAGAGAAGCUCGCGGCUGAUUAGCUAGUUGGUAAGGUAAUGGCUUACCAAGGCGACGAUCAGUAGCUGGUUUGAGAGAACGAUCAGCCACACUGGAACUGAGACACGGUCCAG